CUAGUUACAACUCCUGAUGUUCUGUGGCAGUUACGUUUGUGUGGUUUGGUGCUGUCAGUGUAAGCUUAACAUUUCUUUCCUUCUCCCAGGAAGGACACAAGCAUUGAGGAACCAUUUCACCUGCCACUACACUGAUACUGUAUUUGGCAAAGCAGGAGGCAUGUGCAAGCAACCAGUCAUUCCGAUUCUCAACCAAUCCUUCUUCUAGUCAGGCCAUUUCUAGUGUCUUAUCUUGCAAGUUCUUUUUUUCAGUAAAGCACAAUAAACAUGCAGUUUCGUUCAGA